rnacentral:rRNA from 1 species
GACGGAGGGGGCUAGCGUUGUUCGGAAUGACUGGGCGUAAAGGGCGCGUAGGUGGUUUUUCAAGUCAGGCGUGAAAGCCCCGGGCUUAACCUGGGAACUGCGCUUGAUACUGGAUGACUAGAGGACGAGAGAGGAAAGUGGAAUUCCGAGUGUAGAGGUGAAAUUCGUAGAUAUUCGGAGGAACAUCAGAGGCGAAGGCGGCUUUCUGGCUCGUAUCUGACGCUGAGGCGCGAAAGCGUGGGGAGCAAACAGG